rnacentral:piRNA from 1 species
CAAAAAUGAAGAUUAAAUCUUCUUAGGACA